AUUGAACGCUGGCGGCAUGCCUUACACAUGCAAGUCGAACGGCCGCACGGGUGCUUGCACCUGGUGGCGAGUGGCGAACGGGUGAGUAAUACAUCGGAACAUGUCCUGUAGUGGGGGAUAGCCCGGCGAAAGCCGGAUUAAUAACGCAUACGAUCUACGGAUGAAAGCGGGGGACCUUCGGGCCUCGCGCUAUAGGGUUGGCCGAUGGCUGAUUAGCUAGUUGGUGGGGUAAAGGCCUACCAAGGCGACGAUCAGUAGCUGGUCUGAGAGGACGACCAGCCACACUGGGACUGAGACACGGCCCAGACUCCUACGGGAGGCAGCAGUGGGGAAUUUUGGACAAUGGGCGAAAGCCUGAUCCAGCAAUGCCGCGUGUGUGAAGAAGGCCUUCGGGUUGUAAAGCACUUUUGUCCGGAAAGAAAACCUUGGCCCUAAUACGGUCGGGGGAUGACGGUACCGGAAGAAUAAGCACCGGCUAACUACGUG
rnacentral:rRNA from 1 species